rnacentral:rRNA from 1 species
UACGUAGGAUGCAAGCGUUGUCCGGAUUUACUGGGCGUAAAGCGCGUGUAGGCGGCUCGUUUAGUCUGUCGUGAAAUCUCCCGGCUUAACCGGGAGGGGUCGACGGAUACUGGCGGGCUUGAGGGGAGCAGAGGAAGGUGGAAUUCCCGGUGUAGUGGUGAAAUGCGUAGAUAUCGGGAGGAACACCAGUGGCGAAGGCGGCCUUCUGGGCUCUACCUGACGCUGAGACGCGAAAGCGUGGGGAGCGAACCGG